rnacentral:rRNA from 1 species
GACGAACGCUGGCGGCGUGCUUAACACAUGCAAGUCGAACGGAAAGGCCCUGCUUUUGUGGGGUGCUCGAGUGGCGAACGGGUGAGUAACACGUGAGUAACCUGCCCUUGACUUUGGGAUAACUUCAGGAAACUGGGGCUAAUACCGGAUAGGAGCUCCUGCUGCAUGGUGGGGGUUGGAAAGUUUCGGCGGUUGGGGAUGGACUCGCGGCUUAUCAGCUUGUUGGUGGGGUAGUGGCUUACCAAGGCUUUGACGGGUAGCCGGCCUGAGAGGGUGACCGGCCACAUUGGGACUGAGGUACCGCCCAGACUCCUUCGGGAGGCAGCAGUGGGGAAUAUUGCACAAUGGGCGGAAGCCUGAUGCAGCAACGCCGCGUGCGGGAUGACGGCCUUCGGGUUGUAAACCGCUUUCGCCUGUGACGAAGCGUGAGUGACGGUAAUGGGUAAAGAAGCACCGGCUAACUACGUG